UAUCGGACAUAUUUCACUGUCUCUUCGUGCAGGCUACCAGAGAAAACAGCGAUUGUAACUCAAAUUACCAGGAGUGUCCACAAUUAGGCGUAACAUCCAAGAGGCCAUUAUGGCAUUUUGAAAGCCUUUGUAGUGAAGAAUCCACUUCUUCGCCAGUCGGAUCGCUCACAGGCAAUGAAGUGACCAGUAGAGUGACGGCAUCUCUGUAGUGAUCACAUCACGGAGUUGGAAAAAGCAAAAAACGCAGUUUGUCAGCUUGAAAAAGAGCUAGAAAAGGGCAACAAAU